rnacentral:rRNA from 1 species
UACGAGGAGGGCUAGCGUUGUCCGGAAUUAUUGGGCGUAAAGAGCUCGUAGGCGGUUUGUUGCGUCGGCUGUGAAAUCCCGAGGCUCAACCUCGGGUCUGCAGUCGAUACGAGCAAACUAGAGUGUUGCAGGGGAGACUGGAAUUCCUGGUGUAGCGGUGAAAUGCGCAGAUAUCAGGAGGAACACCGGUGGCGAAGGCGGGUCUCUGGGCAACAACUGACGCUGGAGGAGCGAAAGCGUGGGGAGCGAACAGG